AUUGAACGCUGGCGGCAGGCUUAACACAUGCAAGUCGAACGAGUGGCGGACGGGUGAGUAAUGCUUGGGAAUCUAGCUUAUGGAGGGGGAUAACUACGGGAAACUGUAGCUAAUACCGCGUACCAUAGGAUGAGCCCAAGUGGGAUUAGGUAUUUGGUGAGGUAAAGGCUCACAAAGCCGACGAUCUCUAGCUGGUCUGAGAGGAUGACCAGCCGAAUUGGGACUUGGAUACGGCCCAGUCUCCUACGGGAGGCAGCAGUGGGGGAUAUUGCACAAUGGGCGAAAGCCUGAUGCAGCGACGCCGCGUGGGGGAUGAAGGCUUUCGGGUUGUAAGCCUCUUUCGCUAUCGAACGGGUAGGUGGAGAAGAAGCGCCGGCUAACUACGGGCCAGCAUCCGCGGUAAUAC
rnacentral:rRNA from 1 species